rnacentral:rRNA from 1 species
UACGAAGGGGGGCUAGCGUUGCUCGGAAUCACUGGGCGUAAAGGGUGCGUAGGCGGGUCUUUAAGUCAGGGGUGAAAUCCUGGAGCUCAACUCCAGAACUGCCUUUGAUACUGAAGAUCUUGAGUUCGGGAGAGGUGAGUGGAACUGCGAGUGUAGAGGUGAAAUUCGUAGAUAUUCGGAAGAACACCAGUGGCGAAGGCGACUUACUGGACACAUAUUGACGCUGAGGUGCGAAAGCGUGGGGAGCAAACAGG